rnacentral:rRNA from 1 species
GAUGAACGCUGGCGGCGUGCCUAAUACAUGCAAGUCGAGCGAACAGACGAGGAGCUUGCUCCUUCGACGUUAGCGGCGGACGGGUGAGUAACACGUAGGUAACCUACCUAUAAGACUGGGAUAACUUCGGGAAACCGGAGCUAAUACCGGAUAAUAUUUCGAACCGCAUGGUUCGAUAGUGAAAGAUGGCUUUGCUAUCACUUAUAGAUGGACCUGCGCCGUAUUAGCUAGUUGGUAAGGUAACGGCUUACCAAGGCAACGAUACGUAGCCGACCUGAGAGGGUGAUCGGCCACACUGGAACUGAGACACGGUCCAGACUCCUACGGGAGGCAGCAGUAGGGAAUCUUCCGCAAUGGGCGAAAGCCUGACGGAGCAACGCCGAGUGAGUGAUGAAGGUCUUCGGAUCGUAAAACUCUGUUAUUAGGGAAGAACAAACGUGUAAGUAACUGUGCACGUCUUGACGGUACCUAAUCAGAAAGCCACGGCUAACUACGUG